rnacentral:rRNA from 1 species
UUGAACGCUGGCGGCAGGCCUAACACAUGCAAGUCGAGCGGAUGAAGGGAGCUUGCUCCUGGAUUCAGCGGCGGACGGGUGAGUAAUGCCUAGGAAUCUGCCUGGUAGUGGGGGAUAACGUCCGGAAACGGGCGCUAAUACCGCAUACGUCCUGAGGGAGAAAGUGGGGGAUCUUCGGACCUCACGCUAUCAGAUGAGCCUAGGUCGGAUUAGCUAGUUGGUGGGGUAAAGGCCUACCAAGGCGACGAUCCGUAACUGGUCUGAGAGGAUGAUCAGUCACACUGGAACUGAGACACGGUCCAGACUCCUACGGGGGGCAGCAGUGGGGAAUAUUGGACAAUGGGCGAAAGCCUGAUCCAGCCAUGCCGCGUGUGUGAAGAAGGUCUUCGGAUUGUAAAGCACUUUAAGUUGGGAGGAAGGGCAGUAAGUUAAUACCUUGCUGUUUUGACGUUACCAACGGAAUAAGCACCGGCUAACUUCGUG